UAAUAAUAAAGGCUUGAAACAUUUUCUAUAAUGGCCACUGUCUUACCUGUACCCCAUGCAGAAAAAAAUCAAGUGGAUAAAUAAUACUCCUGAGUGGGUUGAACAGUGGUCUUUAUCUUAAGAGAAAAUAGAAGCAGCUUCAUUGCUAGUGCAGGAGCAAUUAGAAGCAGGGCACCUGAGGGAAUCAAAUUCCCCAUGGAACACACCUAUAUUUGUGAUUAAGAAAAAAUCAGGUAAAUGGAGACUGUUGCAAGAUUUAAGAAAGGCUAAUGAAAAUAUGGUGGUAAUGAGAGCAUUACAGACUGGGUUGCCAUCUCUCGUGGCAAUCCCAAAAAGAUUUUACAAAAUAGUUAUGGAUUUAAAGGAUUGUUUCUUUACAAUUCCUUUGCACCCUGAGGAUUGUGAGAGCUUUGCUUUCAAUGUUCCAUCUGUAAAUUUUAAGGAACCCAUGAAAAAGUAUGAAUGGACUAUUCUUCCUCAGGGGAUGGCAAACAGUCCUAUGUUAUGUCAGAAAUUUGUGGCACAAGUAAUAGAACCAAUAAGGAAGAAAUGGCCACUGAUUUACAUUGCCCAUUACACAGACGAUGUCUUGAUUGCAGGGAAGAUUCCCUAAGAUGUAUUUUCAUGUUAUAAAGAUUUACAAAUUGCCUUUACUGAAAGGGGGUUACAAAUAGCCCCAGAAAAGGUGCAGACUCAAGAUCCAUAUAAUUAUUUAGGUUUUACACUUACGGAUCAAGCUGUUAUUCCUCAAAAAAUCGUUAUAUGUAGAGACAAGUUAAAAACUUUAAAUGAUUUUCAAAAAUUAUUAGGUGAUAUCAAUUGGCUUCGUCCCUACCUAAAACUUACCACAGGAGACUUGAAGACCUUAUUUGAUAUUCUUAGAGGUAAUUCUGAUCCGAAUUCUCCUAGAUCCUUAACUAAAGAAAGGAUAUCUGCUUUACAGCAGGUAGAAAAGGCUAUUGAGAAUCAAUUUAUUACUUACAUAGAUUAUUCUUUACCUUUGCAUUUAUUAAUUUUUAAUACUAGUCAUGCCCCUAUGGCAUUGUUGUGGCAAAAGGCACCUAUUAUGUGGAUCCAUUCAAGGGUGUCUCCUAAACGUAAUAUCUUGCCACAUUAUGAAGCUAUUGCCCAGAUAAUUAUGCUUGGUAGGAAACAAGCACUAACUUAUUUUGGCAAGGAGCCAGAUGUUAUCAUUCAACCUUUUACUUUGGAGCAAGACUCCUGGCUGAAACAGCAUAGCACAGAAUGGUUGCUUGCUCAAAUUGGAUUUCAGGGAACUAUAGAUAAUCAUUAUCCCCAGGACAAAUUAAUAAAGUUUUUAAAUGUGCACGAAGUGAUUUUUCCAAAGGUAACAGCUUAGAAGCCACUAGACAAUGCCCUUGUAGUAUUUACUGAUGGCAUGUCUAAAGAAAGGGCUGGAUAUCUAAUAACCGAGAGGUGGUUAUAAAAACUCCUGGUCUCUCUGCUCAAUUGGCUGAACUAACUGCGGUCUUAAAAGUCUUUGAAGCUGUGCCUGAUGCAUUUAACCUAUACACUGACAGCUUCUACAUUUUUAAUGCUGUACCACAGCUAGAAACUUGUACCAUGUUCAAGUUGGACACUCCAACAGGAGUCCUACUUUCUCAAUUACAAAAUAUCAUUCUUGCAUGAAAAAAUCAAUUCUAUAUUGGUCAUAUUCGGGCUCAUUCUGGUCUGCCAGGGCCAUUAGCAAGAGGUAAUGACCUCACUGACAGAGCUCUAAUUGGAGAGAUUUUAGUUUCAGAUCCUGUGGCCUUAGCUAAACAGGAUCAGAUGAUUUCCACCUAUCCAGCCAAACUCUUAGGCUCAAACAUAAAAUUUCCAGAGAACAAGCAAGAAUGAUCAUUAAACAGUGCCCUAAGUGCAUUACUUUGUCCCCAGUCCUACAUUUGGGGGUAAACCCAAGGGGACUUAUGCCUAAUAGUAUCUGGCAAAUGGAUAUAACACAUUAUGCAGAAUUUGGAAAGCUUAAAUAUAUACAUGUCUGCAUUAAUACUUGUUCAGGAUUUAUAUUUGCUUCCCUGCAAAUAGGAGAAGCCUCUAAAAAUGUUAUUAAUCAUUGUUUACAAGCAUUCAGUGUUAUGGGUAUGCCCAAAACAGUUAAGACGGACAAUGGGCCAUCUUACACUGGUAAAAAUUUUAUUUCCUUUUGCAAAGAUUUUGGCAUUUUUCAUAAGACCGGCAUCCCAUAUAACCCUAUGGGACAAGGUAUUGUUGAGUGAGCUCAUCUCACGAUUAAAAGCUGGCUUUUCAAGACCAGGAGAGGGAACCUUUUCCCCAGAGGUCUCCAAAGGCACAUCUCACCUUUGUACUUUUCAUUUUGAACUUUCUGCAGACUGACAUUGACAUCCUGAAUCUAAUUUGUAUGCCAUGGUACACUGGAGGGACCCUCUCACCAAUGCCUGGCAUGAACCAGACCCUGUUUUGGUUUGGGGCAGAGGGUUAGUUUGCAUCUUUUCCCAAAAGGAGGACAGGACGCGAUGGCUCCCAGACAGAUUAGUCCACCAGAUUGACUCAGAGCAACUACUGUCUUAGCAGCUUUGAAGGUGUUUUUCCCGUUUGAUUCGGAAAUCUGCUUACUCCUGAAGUAGAAGCAAACAAGUGGCUCACCCAGAGCAUGAAAGUGUUGGCUAUCGCUACAAUGUUUAUGUUCUAAGAGCUGGCGGCAUCCCGAAGUCAUUGGCACACCACCGAGCUUCCAGCAUUUCAAAGGUUAAUUCAAGUCCUGGAGUCCACAAAAGACUAAUUUUCAUUAUAUUGAGACCUGUUCCCUAGGCAACUGACUCCAGAGCCCAAGCUGAACAUUUGCAACUCUACAGAGACCUCCCUCCUGGGCUACAGCAGCAGGCUGUCAGGACUUCUUAAAACUGCUCUCAGAUAUGGUGGCAGUUCCCGGGCUCUGCAGUUAAAGGCAUAUCUUGGCAUUUUGUAUGGAUGGAUGGUGCAGAAAGGAGCCUGUCUCUCUGGUGGUGAAGUCAACCCAAACAGAGGCACUACCAAGUGGCUGUGUCUUUGCUAAAGACACGUUAUAAGCCCAAUUUGCUGUGCCAAAUAAGCCUGGGAUGAUGAGCCAGAGGGAAAAUCAGAGCCUUUCAGCAAAAAGCACCAUGAUGUUUCCCAUGCAGAAUCUGUGCUGAGCUCUAUGACCUUCAUCCUGCGUUUUGUUUAAAAACUAAAGGGGUGAAAUGUAUUCUCCCUUCCAUGACUGCCUGAAGCUGUUCUGAAACCGAAAGAAUGCCUGACACUCUGCUUGCUUCUGUCGGAACUGCGUUUGAAGUCCUCGCUGGCUAAACAGACUGCCAGCAUCCCUUUGUCUGGUCUCAUGUUUAUGUUAUACAUUGUGCCUAGCUUGAAUGUUGUGCUUUCAUUUUUGCUGUCUGCUAUAUAAACUCAUUUCCCUCCAAGUAAAGUGCGCCUUGAUAAA